GAUGAACGCUAGCUACAGGCUUAACACAUGCAAGUCGCGGGGCAGCAUGAAUUUAGCUUGCUAAAUUUGAUGGCGACCGGCGCACGGGUGAGUAACGCGUAUCCAACCUUCCCUUAUCCACGGGAUAGCCCGUCGAAAGGCGGAUUAAUACCGUAUGAGGUCAUUUGAUGGCAUCUGAUUAUGACGAAAGGUUUGGCGGACAGGGAUGGGGAUGCGUCCGAUUAGGUAGUCGGCGGGGUAACGGCCACCGAGCCGACGAUCGGUAGGGGUUCUGAGAGGAAGGUCCCCCACAUUGGAACUGAGACACGGUCCAAACUCCUACGGGAGGCAGCAGUGAGGAAUAUUGGUCAAUGGACGUAAGUCUGAACCAGCCAAGUAGCGUGCAGGAAGACGGCCCUAUGGGUUGUAAACUGCUUUUAUGCGGGGAUAAAGUCAACUACGUGUAGUUGUUUGCAGGUACCGCAAGAAUAAGGACCGGCUAAUUCCGUG
rnacentral:rRNA from 1 species